rnacentral:rRNA from 1 species
GACGAACGCUGGCGGCGUGCUUAACACAUGCAAGUCGAACGGACAGACCCUGCGCUUGUGGGGUGCUCGUGUGGCGAACGGGUGAGUGACACGUGUGUAACCUGCCCUUGUCUUUGGGGUAACUUCAGGGGACAGGGGCUCAUACCCGAUAGGAGCUCCUGAUCCAUGGGGGGGUAUGGAAAAUUUCGGCCGUGGGGGCUGGCAUAGCGGCUUAUGCGCUGGUUUGGGGGGUUGUUGCUUCCCAGGGCUUUGAAGGGUAGGCCGCCUGAGAGGGUGACCGGCCACCUUGGUACUGCGAUACGGCCCAGACUCCUACGGGAGGCAGUAGGGGGGAACAUUGCACAAUGGGCGGAAGCCUGUGGUAGCAACUCCGCGUGCGUGAUGCCGGCCUACGGGUGGUAAACCGCUUUCGCCGGUGACGAAGCGUGAGUGACGGUAAUGGGUAAAGAAGCACCGGCUAACUACGUG